GCAGCCGCCACGGUAAUACGGAGGGAGCUAGCGUUGUUCGGAAUUACUGGGCGUAAAGCGCACGUAGGCGGUUAUUCAAGUCAGAGGUGAAAGCCCGGGGCUCAACCCCGGAACUGCCUUUGAAACUAGAUGACUAGAAUCUUGGAGAGGUCAGUGGAAUUCCGAGUGUAGAGGUGAAAUUCGUAGAUAUUCGGAAGAACACCAGUGGCGAAGGCGACUGACUGGACAAGUAUUGACGCUGAGGUGCGAAAGCGUGGGGAGCAAACAGGAUUAGAUACCCGUGUAGUCCCUGUCUCUUAUAC
rnacentral:rRNA from 1 species